UGUCCUCGGACAUCUGUGUAAUGGGCAUGGCCGAGGAGUUGGUUUGUUUAACCAGAAACUUUGGUGACUCCUCCAAAUGGAAGAGACGCCUUCAAGGAACAAAUAAAAUCGAGCCAGAUAAUAAACUAGUCCCAAAGCAUUCACUUGUCCUUGGAAAGCAUGAGUGUACGCCUCUUACAAAGAAAAUCUGUUAAACGCUGAUUGAACCUGCCAAGUGAGAGAAGCUGAGACCUUAUUUCACAAGAUGAGUAACGCAGCGUUGACCUCUGGUACAGUGGCUGUGUCCCAGUAACACUGCCUUCAUCCAGCAGCUGGUGGAAGUAGAAGCAGACACCCACAACUAAUCACUGAACUGAA